UCGGGUAUUUAUUUUCCCUGCGCGUUAAAUUUUCUUCUUCGGCCGAUUCCGAUAAAUUGAUUAGUUACUUAGGUUCUCAGUAAGUUGAGAGAUGGAAUUGCAUCACCUGUUCAAAGACAAGAGAUUCUGGUUUUCGUCUAUCUUAAUUGCUUGGGCUGCUGGUCUCCAGGGUCAUAUGAUGUGGUUACAAAGGCAAGAUAAUUUCAAGAAGAAAUUUGGAGAGCAAAAUCAAAAUGUUGAUGAGGAUAAUAAUAAAGUUAAGGACAAGGAGGAGAAAGUUACAUUUGAUUUCUAAUAGCCUCUCCCCAAUUUGGGUUUACUGGGUAUGUCUUGUGUUCAAUAUGAUAAAUGUGGGUUCAAUACAUUAGAUUUUUAAGAAUGUUGUUACUUAGUCUAUAAUUGUUGAUCUCCUCAAAAUCAUGCAAAUGGAACACUAGAAUGAUAUUCAAUGCACACUUUUGAUUAGACUUGUUAUGGAUAGCAA